rnacentral:lncRNA from 1 species
AGAUUCACUAAAUUUAUUUUAAAAAUCAUAAAACGUUUCUUACAAAAGAGCAUUACAUUCUGCACACUGCUCUGAACAAAUGCCAGGGACAUGUGAACUAUUACUUUCCUCCCUGUCCCACCCCCCAAUGUUACAGUGACCACAAAGUAAGGUGUUCACAAUAAUUACAUGGGGGGAAUUUUUUUUUAAAACCACCAACAAUGAACAAAAAAUAAAAAUCACUCACUCUGCUGCUGUUUCAAAAUUUCAAUGUUAGUUUUUGCAUGCCCUCCCCCCAACCCUGUUUGUAAGGAACUAAAACAUUACAUCUGGUGAACAGCAAAGAUUUCACUACACCUCAAAUGCAGAACACCUAUGAAGCAGAGGAAUGUUGGCUUUUUAAACAGAAGCAGAUAAAAAAAAAAAGAUGCAGGACUCCUUCAGUUCUUCACUAGUCUUAGAAAAACUUUCCAGAAUACUGCUUCACACUAUAAAAAAGAAAAAAUAUCUUGCAUUAGAAUCCUUCAACAUCUGCAUACUGCUUCACACUGUUCUGCAGCAAAUACUGUGCGUUCUGUAUCUGGUCCUGUGUUCCUGUAAUGGUAAUGAUCUGAUCUUCAGACCCUUCUAAAGGUUCAUCAAUUUUGAUUGAUGCUCCAGAUUCAUGACGAAUUUGUUUAAUCCGCUGACCACCUUUGCCAAUAAUAGAUCCAGCCAAAUCUUUGGGAAUAGUUACUUGUGUAGUGAUAAUAGGUCCGCCAAGAUCACCAUAUGAGCCACGGCCCCCUGCAUAAGAAUAGUCAUAUCCAGAACCACCCUGUGGUUCAUAAGCCAUUUGCCAUUCUGAUGGGCUCCAUGUAUCAAUUGCAGAAUCCCAAGUUUCAUCAGCACUGAACCCAACCAUGCCAUCAUAGCGGUCUCCAGGCCUUCCUCUUCUGUCAUAAGCCAUUAGAUCUCCCCCUCUGGGUGGUGGUGGAGGUCCUCGACGAGGGCUCAUAUUAUCAUAAUCUCUUCUAGAAGGAGGCAUGAGACGCCCACCCCGACCAGGAGGCAUUCUGUCAAAACCACCUCUUCCCCUCAUGGGGAAUCCCACAGGUCGUCCUCGGCGGUCAUCAAACAUCAUUCUUAAAACCACCAUAAUCAUAGGUCUCAUCAUAAAAGUUGGGAUCGUAAGGUUGUGCACGUCCUUUGAUGGGAGACUCAGAUAUAAGGUCAAGGAUGAUCUUGAUGCAUUCUACAACCCUAUUAGGUUUUCCUCCAAUAAGAACAACUCUGACAGUAGAGUGAGGGCAGCACUCCUGGAAAAGCUUGAUUGUUGUCUGAGUGUUUUCUCGAAGUUCUUUGAUUUUAGCACCUUUAACACCAAUUAUUCCUCCUGCCAGACUCUGAUGAAUCAACAGUCUCAACUCGCAAUCAAAGUCACUUCCUUUAUAAUGUUGGUAAUUUAAGCAUUCCACAGCAUCAGAUUCGAGCGGGAGCUGGCUGGUUGCAGUGGGUGAUGGCAACUGCAGGCCCUCUUCCAAGGUAGGGAUGAUUUUCUUCAGAAUUUCUCCAAUCGUCUCAAUAUCAGCACUGAUACUCAGUAUGCGCUCGGGGCCACUGCUGUCUGGGACUGAAACACUGGCAUUGUAGUCUGUACGGAGAGCCUUAAUAUUCUUGCCUCCUUUUCCAAUCACUGCUCCAGCAUUCUUGCUCUGAAGCAAAAUGCGCAAUUCAACCAUCUCAUCAGUAUUUCUAGAUCUUUUAAAGGCUUGCUCCUCUUCCAUAUCUUCUGCAGGGCGUUUACCAAAUUCACCAUUGGUUUCGGUGUUGGGGAAGGUUUCUUCUGGCUGUUCGGUCUCCAUUUUCUUGAAUUAAAUGGAUCCACCAAUCGCGCGAGUCCGCCGUUGCCUCCCGGCCGCGCCGCCUCC